UUUAUUUAAAUCAUUCUUCUUUUCCAUUUCAUUUACUUCUCCAUUACUAUUAUACAAUCCUUAUUAUUAGUUAUAUUAUUUUUCAAAUUAACUUGUUGGUAUUUGUAUUAAUAGUUUUGUUGAUUCCUGUAUUCUCUAAAUAUUUAGAGAAGUGCUUGUUUAAUUCUGGGCAAACAUUUCACGCUGCUAAAAUAGUUUUUUAGGAUAGUGCCCAGCACGACUCAAGUAUAAUAAAUAUAUAUACACUGAUAUAUUAUACUGUUAAUACUAUCAAAAUAAUAUUUUAUUCACAGCUGUAUAAUAGUAUUAUUUUUCUUUAUUCCCGAACAUCUAUGAACUUGAAUCUGAAACGUGGGGGUUAUUUGGAGUUGUUUAAACUUACUGUGAAGUCAUGAACAAAAAUUGUCAUAGAAACUCCGAUAAGGCGGAGAUUGGAUUCUUCGUUCUUGUAAGUGGUGGUUCAAAUUGAUUGCUAGGUAAUGUUCCUAUGCUUGUAAGAAGCUCAUGAUUCAAAUCUGAGCUGAUUUGGUGAAAGUUAUUGUACCGAUUUUAAAAGUCAUAACUGGGGAAAUGGACAAAGAAAACAACUUGAAAAGCUAAAGACCAUGUUUCGCUUUUGUCUCCCUGAAGCAGUGCAUUGAGCUGAGCUGAACAUUGAAAUCGAAAAUUGGCUGGAUGAAAGUAAUCGUUUAGACAAACUGUCAGCAGCUUGCUCUGUGAAAAGUUUCAUAUCCCUGAACUAAUUCAAAUGUCUCCAUGAUUCAGGUUCGUCUUAGUUUGAAUUCAGGAAUCUCUUCGAGGAAUUGAGUUUGCUUUUCUGAUCUGAGAACUACUGUUUAUCUUUGAUUUAUGGAUUGAUUGGAGAGAUUCAGUAUUGGAGUUGCAUUCUAUAUGAAAUACCAAGCACCUCUGCUGCUGUUGGUCUGUCGACAAACGAAUCAGGUGGUUUUACAUUUUGGAAUGACUCAGUAGGUGCUUAAAUUUGAAAAGUUUCGAAGGUAUUGGGGCUGUGCUAAAAUUUGUUUUGUUUCACUUACAUGUGUGAUUUUGUUCAAACGGUGUUAAAAAUUAUGUAAGGAAUGGAGUAAUUAUCCAGGAGGUGCAUUUCAACAUAUUCCUCUAUGUUAGCUUAACGAGUGAAUGCAACACAUUCCAUCCAAACAAGCUUUAAAUAGGCCAAGAGCUUUUCAACAGACAAAUAUUAAAAGCUUAUAACUAAGAAUUGGUGGGGGUUUCCCUAAAGAGAGACCCUUCCAAAAAUUGGCGUAUGCCACUUGUUGCAACAAGCACACGGUAUUCUUUAGUAAAAGGCGAAAGAAUAAUUCGCUAUGUGCUCAAUGCGUGGCUGCGUGAGUUGGCAAGGUGGCUGGAGCCAACAUUAAAUAUGGGGCAAAGCUGUUUGCUCUGCAGCUUGCAUCCGAUGUGGGAUAAAUUCUACAAUCAAACAAUCAUCAACUGGUUGGUGAGACUAAAACAUUUUCUCAUUUAUUUGCCAUUGAGAAUAGGUGAAGGAAAAAAUGGGUAAGGAGAUUACAACAUUCAGAAUCUAAAUUUCAUCAAUAAAGUAAAAGUUCAAAUAGUUAAUGAACUACUAAAAUUUCCAUAUUAUUCGUCAUUUCCACUACUCAAAUGGCAACAUUUCAACUAACAGUAUGUUUCGGAUGGAAAAAACAAGUGUACUAACACUUGUUAUAAUCUAGUAGGAAGAAUAUUCAUUAUUUUACCUAUAUAUAUGUAUGCUUCUUUGUAUGUUAUAACGUAGAGAGGAAAAAAAAACAAUAACACACACUUUAUUUAAAUCAUUCUUCUUUUCCAUUUCAUUUACUUCUCCAUUACUAUUAUACAAUCCUUAUUAUUAGUUAUAUUAUUUUUCAAAUUAACUUGUUGGUAUUUGUAUUAAUAGUUUUGUUGAUUCCUGUAUUCUCUAAAUAUUUAGAGAAGUGCUUGUUUAAUUCUGGGCAAACAUUUCACGCUGCUAAAAUAGUUUUUUAGGAUAGUGCCCAGCACGACUCAAGUAUAAUAAAUAUAUAUACACUGAUAUAUUAUACUGUUAAUACUAUGAAAAUAAUAUUUUAUUCACAGCUGUAUAAUAGUAUUAUUUUUCUUUAUUCCCGAACAUCUAUGAACUUGAAUCUGAAACGUGGGGGUUAUUUGGAGUUGUUUAAACUUACUGUGAAGUCAUGAACAAAAAUUGUCAUAGAAACUCCGAUAAGGCGGAGAUUGGAUUCUUCGUUCUUGUAAGUGGUGGUUCAAAUUGAUUGCUAGGUAAUGUUCCUAUGCUUGUAAGAAGCUCAUGAUUCAAAUCUGAGCUGAUUUGGUGAAAGUUAUUGUACCGAUUUUAAAAGUCAUAACUGGGGAAAUGGACAAAGAAAACAACUUGAAAAGCUAAAGACCAUGUUUCGCUUUUGUCUCCCUGAAGCAGUGCAUUGAGCUGAGCUGAACAUUGAAAUCGAAAAUUGGCUGGAUGAAAGUAAUCGUUUAGACAAACUGUCAGCAGCUUGCUCUGUGAAAAGUUUCAUAUCCCUGAACUAAUUCAAAUGUCUCCAUGAUUCAGGUUCGUCUUAGUUUGAAUUCAGGAAUCUCUUCGAGGAAUUGAGUUUGCUUUUCUGAUCUGAGAACUACUGUUUAUCUUUGAUUUAUGGAUUGAUUGGAGAGAUUCAGUAUUGGAGUUGCAUUCUAUAUGAAAUACCAAGCACCUCUGCUGCUGUUGGUCUGUCGACAAACGAAUCAGGUGGUUUUACAUUUUGGAAUGACUCAGUAGUUGCUGAAAUUUGAAAAGUUUCGAAGGUAUUGGGGCUGUGCUAAAAUUUGUUUUGUUUCACUUACAUGUGUGAUUUUGUUCAAACGGUGUUAAAAAUUAUGUAAGGAAUGGAGUAAUUAUCCAGGAGGUGCAUUUCAACAUAUUCCUCUAUGUUAGCUUAACGAGUGAAUGCAACACAUUCCAUCCAAACAAGCUUUAAAUAGGCCAAGAGCUUUUCAACAGACAAAUAUUAAAAGCUUAUAACUAAGAAUUGGUGGGGGUUUCCCUAAAGAGAGACCCUUCCAAAAAUUGGCGUAUGCCACUUGUUGCAACAAGCACACGGUAUUCUUUAGUAAAAGGCGAAAGAAUAAUUCGCUAUGUGCUCAAUGCGUGGCUGCGUGAGUUGGCAAGGUGGCUGGAGCCAACAUUAAAUAUGGGGCAAAGCUGUUUGCUCUGCAGCUUGCAUCCGAUGUGGGAUAAAUUCUACAAUCAAACAAUCAUCAACUGGUUGGUGAGACUAAAACAUUUUCUCAUUUAUUUGCCAUUGAGAAUAGGUGAAGGAAAAAAUGGGUAAGGAGAUUACAACAUUCAGAAUCUAAAUUUCAUCAAUAAAGUAAAAGUUCAAAUAGUUAAUGAACUACUAAAAUUUCCAUAUUAUUCGUCAUUUCCACUACUCAAAUGGCAACAUUUCAACUAACAGUAUGUUUCGGAUGGGUUUACCCAUCAUAUUGUGUUGUCUUGUUACCAUCAAUAUCAUAUUUGUUUUAAUUGUUA
rnacentral:lncRNA from 1 species